AGCGAACGCUGGCGGCAUGCUUAACACAUGCAAGUCGAGCGGACACUCUCGGAUGUCGGCGGCGGACGGGUGGGUAACGCGUGGUAACGUGCCCUCUGGUUCGGAAUAACUCAGGGAAACUUGAGCUAAUACCGGAUACGCCCAUUUGGGGAAAGGCUUUCUGCCGUAGGAUCGGCCCGCGUCUGAUGAGCUAGUUGGUUAGUUAACGUCUCACCAAGCCGACUAUCAGUAGCUGGUCUGAGAGGAUGAUCAGCCACACUGGGACUGAGACACAGCACAGACUCCUACGGGAGGGAGGAGUGGGGAAUAUUGGACAAUGGGCGCAAGGCUGAUCGAGCCAUGCCGCGUGAGUGAUGAAGGCAUUAGGGUAGUAAUGCUCUUUUAUCCGGGACGAUAAUGACGGUACCGGAGGAAUAAGCCACGGCUAACUUCGUG
rnacentral:rRNA from 1 species